rnacentral:rRNA from 1 species
AUUGAACGCCGGCGGCAUGCCUUACACAUGCAAGUCGAACGGUAACGGGCCUUCGGGUGCCGACGAGUGGCGAACGGGUGAGUAAUACAUCGGAACGGGCCCGAUCGUGGGGGAUAACGAGGCGAAAGCUUUGCUAAUACCGCAUACGAUCUACGGAUGAAAGCAGGGGACCGCAAGGCCUUGCGCGGACGGAGCGGCCGAAGGCAGAUUAGGUAGUUGGUGGGAUAAAAGCUGACCAAGCCGACGAUCUGGAGCUGGGCUGCGAGGAUGAUCAGCCCAACUGGGACUGAGAAACGGCACAGACUCCUCCGGGAGGCAGCAGUGGGGAAUUUUGGACAAUGGGAGCAAGCCUGAUCCAGCCAUGCCGCGUGCAGGAUGAAGGCCUUCGGGUUGUAAACUGCUUUUGUACGGAACGAAAAGCCUUCUUCUAAUACAGGAGGGUCAUGACGGUACCGUAAGAAUAAGCACCGGCUAACUACGUGCCAGCCGCCGCGGUAA